CCUACGGGAGGCAGCAGUGGGGAAUAUUGGGCAAUGGGCGAAAGCCUGACCCAGCGACGCCGCGUGAGGGACGAAGGCCUUCGGGUUGUAAACCUCUUUCAGCAGGGAAGAAGCGAAAGUGACGGUACCUGCAGAAGAAGCACCGGCUAACUACGUGCCAGCAGCCGCGGUAAUACGUAGGGUGCAAGCGUUGUCCGGAAUUAUUGGGCGUAAAGAGCUCGUAGGUGGUUUGCCACGUCGGAUGUGAAAACCUGAGGCUUAACCUCAGGCCUGCAUUCGAUACGGGCAGACUAGAGUGUGGUAGGGGAGACUGGAAUUCCUGGUGUAGCGGUGAAAUGCGCAGAUAUCAGGAGGAACACCGGUGGCGAAGGCGGGUCUCUGGGCCAUAACUGACACUGAGGAGCGAAAGCGUGGGGAGCAAACAGGAUUAGAUACCCUGGUAGUCCACGCCGUAAACGGUGGGCACUAGAUGUGGGGACCUUCCACGGUCUCUGCGUCGCNGCACGCAUAGUCGCCCGCCGUCGGGUAGGUACGGCCGGCGACGACGUAAACCUACAACUAGAAGUUAGACGGCGUGAGACGUGCCGACGGACGACCGACCGACGGGAGGUA
rnacentral:rRNA from 1 species